ensembl:lncRNA
UGUACCCUCACAGGACACAGUGUUCGCGGCACCAUCUUGGAAGCAGAGACCGGAACUGCUGGUGUCUUGGCCUUUGACCUUCCAGUCUCCAAAAUGAAUUAUCAAGACCCGAGGCAAAAAGGAUCGUGAGAGCCUAAGAGAGUGGCAGCAUGGAACCCCGGCCUCUCCUAGACCUCGGCAGCCAUGUGCUUCUGGGCUGGGACAGUCUUGGGCUGAAAGGAGGCUUGCACAAUCAUGACAACAACUUGCAAACCAGCAUCACUGCAGGGGAGCUGUACUCUUCUCUUGAGCUUGCUGUUCGCAGUCAACUGAGACUGAAGUUCACCUUUCCCGGGAGUGGCUGGUGGAAGGCAGCACCAUGGGUGGCAGGUUAAAAAGCCUCAGAAGGGAGUGUUUCCUUUCCACUGCCAGUGUCAGGUCCAGUGGAGUGACAUAUGCCUUUCACUGUAUCCCAAGAAGGAGGAAGAACUAUAAAAAGCCUUCAGAGGCUCCCGAGGAAACUUGAGGGCAGUAAAAGCGAAGACUACAAACUAAAGAAAAAUACACACAGCUGUGAGAAUGGGGCUGAAUUUAUGCACUGUGAGAUUCCAGGAAGAAAUCUUAAACAUUCAAACCGUGGCAGAGAGAGGCCUGGCCGAGCAGUGGACGUACUCAGCCGGAAGCCAAGACCCAGAGUCCCCCAGGCUGGUCGGAACUGGCUUCCGACUUCCGUUCGAAGGCCACGCGCUCGUGUUUCCAAGGACUCCGUAUCCCCACUGCCACUUGAGCUUUUGAACCCGCAGCUGUGCCUGACUCUGUGCUGGAGGAGGCAGGCGUUGCUCCUCAUUUUCUUUCCCCAUCCCCACAUUCGGGACAUAGGAUCGUGAGCCGCGAGUUGAGCGAGGACAGAGAGGCAGGGACGCUCUGCACGGGACACGGGGGCACGCGAAGAGGGCACCAGAAGGGCAGCUCCAGGCCCUCAUCUCCGCAACUCACACUGUGCGUCAAGAGCGACUCCGGAGGCGCGGAACGCCAGAGCCCCGGAGAGGGAACAAAGGCCCUGAAGAUGUUGGGAGGAAGAAGGAGGAAGAACAGAGGCAAGGCCUCAAGGGGGGGAUUUGCCUCACUGCCCACGGGCAAGCGAGCGACAUGGAGCCCCGGGGCAGCCACAUGCUGGACGUCCCCAGCCCGUGAAAGCGGCCAUGGGCUAAACUGGAAGAGCCUCACCACCACCUCGGAGCAUCCCCGACUGCAGCCAAGUCGCCCACACGGCCACAGAGCCCCCUUGGCGGCAAGCAGGCGGGUGGGCAGUUCAAUGAGGGCCUGAGAGCGGGCAGAGAGCCCCGGCCAGCCCGCGGGCUUAGCGGGCUGUCCCGCACCCUUUCCGGUGUUACUCAGUGGUGGGCGUGGCCUGGCCUGGGUCCUUCCCGAGCCCCGAGCUCUGCAGACCCUAGGGCAGGACCGUGUGGGAGCAAAGUCAGAAUAACUGACUCGUGAAGACGGAGGGCAGGACGUGCUCAGGGUCAUCCCUCUUGCAGCAGGCAGGAAUUCACUUUGUGCAACAGUCAGGCAUUGCCUUGUCUUCCCUGCCCGUCGCAGGACAGCUUGGGGGUCCCAGUACCUCGCGCUGCUGUUUCCGAAGAGCGUACCCAUUCUUAGACCUCUUAGGUUCUCAAGGUUCUCACAGUCUGUGAAAGUCUCUUACCGAGGGACCGCUUUGCCUUCCUCUGCCGGCAGCCGCCUCCCUAAGGAGCCCCGGAGGUGCUGAAGGCUCUGCUUCUUCUCCCUUCCUCAGGGCCGCUUCCCUCUGGCCUUUCCUGUGCUGCAGUCAAGUGGCUGUGGUCUGCACUCUGGUCAUGCGUCAGCUCCGGGCCCACCACAUGCACAGUGCCCCGGGUCUGUGGUCCACAUGGGUACACCCAGCACCCCGUGCAAACGACUGAGGCGGUUAAUAUGCUUUGCCCACUUACCAUGGAUUGCCUUUGAGUGCUUGAGGACAGACUGUUUUCAGCUCUCAGCCUUUCAUGUCUCCAGGCACUGAACUAAGACCCAAAUGUGCAAAGGUGGGUAUGGCCCACUCUGCCCCCGAGCGAGCAUCAGCCUUGUAGGGAAGACUGAGGGAGAGCCAGACCCAGGAGCGCCUCCUGCCUAGUGUGGUUCAGGAGGGGAGGCCAGAGAGCGAAGUGCCACAUGGGAGCAGCAAGGGAGGAACAGGGCUCCCUCCAUUGGUCUGGGUCCCACCAAAACAGAGGCAGGGUGGCACAGGUGUGUCUUCUUGCUCAGGGCUCAAGUCUCUUUGGGGAGGCUUCCCCGCUGACCCCCGAAGAGCAGGGCAGGCUGUUCAUGAUGGUUCCGUG